GUGAAAAUCCGAGCUCACCUCGGACUUGCAGUGGGUACGGGCAGACUAGAGUGUGGUAGGGGAGACUGGAAUUCCUGGUGUAGCGGUGAAAUGCGCAGAUAUCAGGAGGAACACCGAUGGCGAAGGCAGGUCUCUGGGCCACUACUGACGCGGAGAAGCGAAAGCAUGGGGAGCGAACAGGAUUAGAUACCCUGGUAGUCCAUGCCGUAAACGUUGGGCGCUAGGUGUGGGACUCAUUCCACGAGUUCCGUGCCGCAGCUAACGCAUUAAGUGCCCCGCCUGGGGAGUACGGCCGCAAGGCUAAAACUCAAAGGAAUUGACGGGGGCCCGCACAAGCGGCGGAGCAUGCGGAUUAAUUCGAUGCAACGCGAAGAACCUUACCAAGGCUUGACAUAUACCGGUAACACCCAGAGAUGGGUGCCCCUUUUUGGUCGGUAUACAGGUGGUGCAUGGUUGUCGUCAGCUCGUGUCGUGAGAUGUUGGGUUAAGUCCCGCAACGAGCGCAACCCUCGUUCUAUGUUGCCAGCACGUAAUGGUGGGGACUCAUGGAAGACUGCCGGGGUCAACUCGGAGGAAGGUGGGGAUGACGUCAAAUCAUCAUGCCCCUUAUGUCUUGGGCUUCACGCAUGCUACAAUGGCCGGUACAAUGGGCUGCGAAACCGCAAGGUGGAGCGAAUCCCAAAAAACCGGUCUCAGUUCGGAUUGGGGUCUGCAACUCGACCCCAUGAAGUCGGAGUCGCUAGUAAUC
rnacentral:rRNA from 1 species